rnacentral:lncRNA from 1 species
GAUAAAGGAGUUUAGUACUAUUUUUGGUGUGUAUCCAUCAACAGAGGGUCGCGUUGUUGGUUCACUUCAGAGUACAGAGAUAACAUUACAGGAGAAAGACAUCAAUUCUCUAUUUUCAACUCAAAAGUUCAAACUACUCAUAGCUUCCACUCUCGCUCCAAACUCAAUUUUCAUUUUUCUUUAACUGGUACCUUUUCCUAAUUCCUAUGCUAUCUUCUUUGUUUCAUUUUUCCAUUUUCAACUCCUUCGUAAGGUUGUUUUGCACCUUGUUUUGUAUCUGCACACCAUGUGUUUGUUUAUUUGUCUAAGUUGAUUACACGCUGUAAUAUUUGCUGUUUUGUGUGGUCACAAAUUUAUGAGUUAUGUGCUGAUGAACUGAUUAUUCAAUUGCAAGUAUUAAAUUGUUAGAGGGUCAGCCAAGAACACUUAGAUGAGAUGGUAAGAGUCUCUUCCAGCUUAACUAAAGGUCACAGGUUCAAAUUCAGUCAUAGAAAUGAAGUAAUUUUAGAUCUUUUUAGGGAGAGUUUUGCAGCCCAUUUGUGGUUUUAUCUGGCU